GUCCACGCCGUAAACGAUGUCGACUUGGAGGUUGUGCCCUUGAGGCGUGGCUUCCGGAGCUAACGCGUUAAGUCGACCGCCUGGGGAGUACGGCCGCAAGGUUAAAACUCAAAUGAAUUGACGGGGGCCCGCACAAGCGGUGGAGCAUGUGGUUUAAUUCGAUGCAACGCGAAGAACCUUACCUGGUCUUGACAUCCACAGAACUUUUCAGAGAUGAAUUGGUGCCUUCGGGAACUGUGAGACAGGUGCUGCAUGGCUGUCGUCAGCUCGUGUUGUGAAAUGUUGGGUUAAGUCCCGCAACGAGCGCAACCCUUAUCCUUUGUUGCCAGCGGUCCGGCCGGGAACUCAAAGGAGACUGCCAGUGAUAAACUGGAGGAAGGUGGGGAUGACGUCAAGUCAUCAUGGCCCUUACGACCAGGGCUACACACGUGCUACAAUGGCGCAUACAAAGAGAAGCGACCUCGCGAGAGCAAGCGGACCUCAUAAAGUGCGUCGUAGUCCGGAUUGGAGUCUGCAACUCGACUCCAUGAAGUCGGAAUCGCUAGUAAUCGUGGAUCAGAAUGCCACGGUGAAUACGUUCCCGGGCCUUGUACACACCGCCCGUCACACCAUGGGGAGUGGGUUGCAAAAGAAGUAGGUAGCUUAACCUUCGGGAGGGCGCUUACCACUUUGUGAUUCAUGACUGGGGUGAAUCUAGAAGGGAAACCCCCCAAAAAAAAAAAGGGGUUUUUUGGGGAAGGGUUUUUUAA
rnacentral:rRNA from 1 species